rnacentral:rRNA from 1 species
UACGUAGGUGGCAAGCGUUGUCCGGAUUUAUUGGGUUUAAAGCGUGCGCAGGCGGUUAUGUAAGACAGGUGUGAAAUCCCCGGGCUUAACCUGGGAACUGCAUUUGUGACUGCAUAGCUAGAGUACGGUAGAGGGGGAUGGAAUUCCGCGUGUAGCAGUGAAAUGCGUAGAUAUGCGGAGGAACACCGAUGGCGAAGGCAAUCCCCUGGACCUGUACUGACGCUCAUGCACGAAAGCGUGGGGAGCAAACAGG